ACCCCAGACUCCUACGGGAGGCAGCAGUAGGGAAUCUUUCCCAAUGGGCGACCGCCUGAUGGAGCCCCGCCUCGUGCAGUAUGACGGACUUCGGGUUUUCAACUGCUUUUCUCCGCGAGAAAUCUGCUGGUAACUUCUUUCUAAGGAUCUUCUCCCUACGUGCCCGCCUCCGCGGUACUCCUUCGGUGGCACGCUUUGUCCGGAUUGACUGGGUGUAAAGGGCGUGCAGCCGGAGAGACAAGUCAGAUGUGAAAUCCACGGGAGCAACCCGUGAACUGCAUUUGAAACUGUUUCCCUUGAGUGUCGGAGAGGUAAUCGGAAUUCCUUGUGUAGCGGUGAGAUGCGUAGAGAGAAGGAAGAACACCAGUGGCGAAGGCGGAGUACUGGACGAUAACUGACGGUGAGGCGCGAAAGCGUGGGGAGCAAACAGGAUUAGAUACCCCGGUA
rnacentral:rRNA from 1 species